AUACAACUGAUCAGUCCUAAAUAGGAUGUAACGCGCGUCCUGAAU
rnacentral:hammerhead_ribozyme from 1 species